CCCUACGGGGCGCAGCAGGCGCGAAAACUUUACAAUGCUGGAAACAGCGAUAAGGGGACCUCGAGUGCCAGGUUACAAAUCUGGCUGUCGUGAUGCCUAAAAAGCAUUGCAUAGCAAGGGCCGGGCAAGACCGGUGCCAGCCGCCGCGGUAACACCGGCGGCUCGAGUGGUAACCGUUAUUAUUGGGUCUAAAGGGUCUGUAGCCGGCCGGAUAAGUCUCUUGGGAAAUCUGGCAGCUUAACUGUCAGGCUUUCAGGAGAUACUGUCUGGCUCGAGGCCGGGAGAGGUGAGAGGUACUUCAGGGGUAGGGGUGAAAUCCUGUAAUCC
rnacentral:rRNA from 1 species